CGACCCCAGGUCAGGCGGGACUACCCGCUG
rnacentral:rRNA from 1 species